CGGCUGUAAUGGUAAGCAGGCAGGCCUAACACAUGGAAUUCGAGCGGCAGCGGAAAGUAGCUUGCUACUUUGCCGGCGAGCGGCGGACGGGUGAGUAAUGUCUGGGAAACUGCCUGAUGGAGGGGGAUAACUACUGGAAACGGUAGCUAAUACCGCAUGACCUCGCAAGAGCAAAGUGGGGGACCUUCGGGCCUCACGCCAUCGGAUGUGCCCAGAUGGGAUUAGCUAGUAGGUGAGGUAAUGGCUCACCUAGGCGACGAUCCCUAGCUGGUCUGAGAGGAUGACCAGCCACACUGGAACUGACGACACUGCGUCCAGACUCCUACGGGAGGCAGCAGUGGGGAAUAUCGCGCCAUGGGCGCAAUCCUGAUGCAGCCAUGCCGCGUAUGUGAUGAAAUCCUUCUAGUUGUUAAGCUGCGUCAGAGAGAAGCAAGUGAGUAGUGUUAAUAGCAUGUCCGAUUGACGUUACUACGAAGAAGAAGCACGGACUAACUCCGUGCCAGCAGCCGUAGUAGUACGGAGGGAGCAAGCGUCUAGUCAGUAUUAGUGGUCGUAAAGGCGCACGCAGUCGGUUUAGUACGUCAGAUGUGAAAUCCCCGCGGCAUCACGUGGGAUCAUCAUUAGAAGCUGGACAGGCAUGGACUGCAGAAGAGAGAGGUAGACUUCCAGUUGUAGCGAUGAACUGCAGAAGAGAAGAGGAGGAACAGUGGUGACGACGGCGGUCUCCUGUAUGAAGACUGACGAUCAGCUGAGAAAGCGUGGGGAGCAAGCAGGAUUAGAUACGCUAGUACUCCACGCAGUAAACGAUGUCGACUUGUAGGUUGGUGUUCUUCACCAGUGAGUGCAGGAGCUAACGCGUUAAGCAGUCCGCCUGGGGAGUACGGCCGCAAGGUUAAAACUCAAAUGAAUUGACGGGGGCCCGCACAAGCGGUGGCGCAUGUGGUUUAAUUCGAUGCAACGCGAAGAACCUUACCUUCUCUUGACAUCCUGAGAACUUUGCAGAGAUAGUCUUCCGUGCUUUCGGGAACUAUGAGACAGGUGGUGCAUGGUUGUCGUCAGCUCGUGUUGUGAAAUGUUGGGUUAAGUCCCGCAACGAGCGCAACCCUUAUCCUUAGUUGCCAUCAUGUUAUGGUGGGCAAUUCAAGGGGGACUGCCGGGUGACUAACCGGGAGGAAGGGGGGGAGGAGGCCAAUUCAUCCUUCCCCUUAUGAAGUAGGGCUACCCCACGUGGUUCAAAGGGCGCAUACAAAGGGGAAGCGAACCCGCGGGAGACCAGCCAAUCCCAUAAAAUCUGUUUUCAGUUCGGAUUGUAGGUUGCAACUUGGCUUCAUGAAGCUGGAAUCGCUAGUAAUCGUAGAUCAGCAUGGCCCGGUGAAUACGUUCCCGGGCCUUGUACACAACGCCCGUCACACCCCGAGGAGUUGGACGCCCCGGAAGUGGUUAGGUUAACCUUUUGGAGGUCGCUAGCACAUCGGAUACGGCCAUUGGCGUG
rnacentral:rRNA from 1 species